CACGGAUCCCUUCACACCUGCUUGGAAGGUUGGGGAGCAGGAUGCUGACCCCUUUGUGUGGUUCCAGGCUAUAAUAGCUAAUUAACCUGGACACAGCUUGGGAUCAUCUGUGAUGUCCUCCUUUCCCCGGCAAAGCGGAUAAUGCUGCCAUGGGGCCAGGCCUGCCCUCAUGCAGCUAGGGGUCACAUCUGCCUGCACACAGCAUGGGAGAGUGUGGAGGAGGAGGGACAGGACCCUAUUUCCAGACAAUUGUCUAACAGGAAGAGGAUCAUAAAAUCCUAAGAUUGGCUAAUCAACCUCCCUGUUCUACAGAUGAAGAAACUCACACUCCCAGGACAAGUGACCUCUCAGGACCACACAGAAAGAGAGUUGAUGUAAUAAUUGUACUCUGUGGCUACAUGGGUGUGAACCAGAACGAGGCAGAAGGGAUCUAUUUUUCUAUUUAGUGCCAAUGAGCCCCCAUGGAUCUAUGCAGGGGCAGGGUGCUUUGUGCAGAUGAAGGUCGUGCCAGACAUGGUAAUGAAGGCCCUGAACAGAGGGAGAACCAUCAGGGACUGCUGUGUGAGCAAAGCGUGGACUUUCAUCCUGAAAAAUGAGUGCAUCCGUAACAACAUCCUCAAACAUAGACGGCUCUGAUUAGCGCUCCAGGAGCCCUCUCUCUAAAAACAUCUGAAAAUGCCUCCU